rnacentral:lncRNA from 1 species
AGUACCACCAAUAAGUGACGUUCUAAAGUUUGGGAUCAUUUUGAUCUCAUCGCACCAAAUAAGGUGCGGUGUUUGCAAUGCACACAAGAGUUGUCUCACAGCAACAACACAUCAUCUAUGCUGAGACACUUGCGUGCUCGGCAUGACGACAAUCACGACCCUGUCAACACUGGAAAUCCUGACAAUAUUUGAAAGAACAAAUUCUGACAAGAGCUGAGGAUCCCUUGAAGUACUGGGUGGCACGAAAGACUUUAAAUCCUACGCUGUGGAAACUUGCAAGUAUCUGUGCAUCCCAGCAUAAUCUGUUCCCUGAGAAAGAAUAUUUUCCAAAGCUGGGGAAGCUGGUCAGCCAGAAGAGGAGCAGACUGAAAGCCCCCAAAUGACAAACCA